GUACGGGGGCGGGGGCGUGGAUCUCCACAUAUACACUUGUACACGUAUACACAUAGGUGUGCAUGUCAGUAUACAUACAUGGAAAGAGUGUGUGUGGCAGUGCACAUACAUGUCUGCCUGUUUGCGCACACCUGCAUGCACACACACGCAGUAUGCACCUGCAGGCACGCUGUACCCUAUGUGCUACACGUGCACUGUGUGUAUACACCUACACAUGCAGAUGCGUGUGCAUGCAUGUACACACACACACACACGUGCAUGCAUGUACAUGGCUGCAUGGGCUCACACACCGAGUGCGUGAGUAGGGCUGGGAGUCAGUCAGCUCUGUGAGGCAUGUGAACACCUGCAUGCGAUUCACGAGGUUUCCGGCAGGAAGCCGUAGCAUCAGAAGCUGUUCGUAUCUGCUGUGGCAAGAGGUAGGGGUGGGCGUCAGUCUACUAUUUUUCAUAAUGAAAAACAGUGAAAUUAAUUUUUGAAAAGCAGGUGCCACAAAACUCAGGCCAGUUGCAGACGGGCGCCUGGAGCCGAAAGAGGCUGAGAAACCCCCGUACUAGGUACAGGAAGCCACGAUGAUCGCUUUCUCGACAGCAUCUUCAGUAGCAACUGGGUAUAUUUUUCAUGCCUGUUAAUGGGGACUGAUUUCAGACACGCUCCAGUGAAGACAUUAAGUAGGACUGAAAUUGUCUCCUUGUUUCAUUCAGCGUAGGCCUAAAGGCCUCAAGUUGCAGUUAGUUGGUUACUGAACAAACUGCCGGUUUUCAGGGAGUCUCCAGCGCUCGACGCUCCUCACCUCCCGCUCCAGCGCUCGGCGCUGUCUCCCCCGGGCACUGACGCUCCUGGUUAUGCCUCUGGCUUUGCUUACACAAGAAGUUGACCCAGUUUAACUCUGGUUUACUCAAUCUGGUCAAUUUAAGUAGCGCACACCAAUUCACAGGUGGUUUUCUUGGUGUAGCUUGUGUUGAUAACUUUUUAAAACCAAUUUUAUUUAAAUAGGCACAAUAUCUGGCUAGGUGAGGGUUGAAAUGUCAUUUCCCACACCCUUUGCAUAGUCAUAAUUCACUAAUUGAGAAAAUAACUUUUUUUUCUUCUUCUUUCAGCGCUACGACUUGUUGUGAAGCAUUUACAGCUGCUCCACUUAUGCAUAUUUUCCAACAGGCAGGAUCUUUUGAAAACGAUACCUAAUGUUAUAUUAUUAAAAUGGCUAUCCAUACAAGGCAGAGUGUAAAAAUGAAAAUGCUGACAGGUUCAAGCAGGACAGUUUCAGGAAAGUAUGACUUGAGAGAGGCAGCCAGACAGACAAUCCAAAUGCUUCAGUUGGCAGGAUGAAGUGAUAUGCUAAUGUAAGAGAAAAGACUUGCACAGAGGACACUUCACGCCCACAUCCAAGUCACUGAUGAAGACACUGAAGAGUACAGGUCUAAGGACUGAGCCCGGUGGGAACCCACUACCCAGAUGCUUCCAGGUCGAUACCGACCCGUCUGCUACCACUCUCUGGGUGCGACCCGCAAGCCAAUUUGCCACCUGCCAGACCGUGUAAACAUCUAAGUCACAGCCUCUUAAUUUAUUUAAGAGAAUGGGAUGAGGUACGGAAUCGAAGGUCUUCCUAAAAUAAAAAAAAACAACAUCCACCUCUACUUCUGCAUCAGCAUUUUGUGACCUGGUUAUAAAAUGAAACCAGAUUAGUCAGGCAUGAUCCACCUGCUACGGAUCAAUGCUGGUUGCCCUGCUGCAUUAUUUUUCCCGCUGGACUCCCACAAAUAUGAUCCUUAAUAAUCUUUUCAAAGACUUUUCCAAGGAUGGAGGUGAGGCUGACUGGCCUAUAAUGACUUGUAUCCUCUUUCCUCCCCUUCUUGAAAAUGGGGACCACGUUGGCCCUUUUCCAGUCCUCUGGGACCUGACCCGAGUGCCACGAGUGCUCAAACAGCCGUGCCAGUGGCUCUGCAAUGACACCGGCAAAUGCCUUCAGUACUCGCGGAUGCAGCGCAUCUGGGCCUGCUAACUUAAACACAUCCAGUCCAUCCAAGUGACUCUGCACCACGUCAGCGCCGACAGUUGGUAGGCUGGUAUCCCUCUGAUCCCAUCUAAGAACCUGUUAGGAGACUGAUCUUGACCCUUGUUCAAGGACACUGAGGCAAAAAACUCAUUGAAUAGCUCAGCCUUGUCCCCCCUGUCUGUCACUAAUUGCUCGUGUUUCUUCAGUAGGGGUCCUGUGCUGCCCUGCGCCUUCGUUUUGCUCCCUACAUACCUGACAAUAGACUUCUUGUUGUCUUUAAUUUGUGUUGCCAGCCUCAGCUCUGUAGUUGCUUUGGCUUCUCUAACUGCCACCCUGCAAGUGCAGGCCAAGUAGAUACACUCCUCCUUGGUAGCUUCCUCCUGCUUUCACCACCUAUAUGCCUUCUUUUUUUUUUUGCCCUUAGGCUCUUCUGGAUGUUUGUGUUUAGCCAAGGAAGUUUUUUGGCCCCUUUCUCCCCUUUCCCUCGCACUGGGAUCAUCUCCCUCUGUGCCUGAAGGAUCACUUCCUUUAGGAACGACCUCCCUUCCUGGACUCCCAUCUCGCCAAUACUCCUCUCCUGCAGUGCAUCGCUGGUUAAACUGAGCACACUGAAGUUAGCCUUCCUAAAGUCAAGCACCUCCAUCCUAUUAUUAUCUUACCCACUCGACGCCGUAUGAUAAAUUUGAUUGAGUGAGUGGUGGUCACUGUCCCCAAGGUGACCACGAAUCUGUAGUUCCCCUACCAGGUCAUCCCCCAUAGCCAACACCAAGUCCAGUGGGACCGUAUACUUCCUGCGUUAGGUGAGCGGUUGGAUUUGGCUGACUGCUUUUCCCAGCAGAUGUCAGGGUAGUUUAGGUCCCCCAUGACAACCAUGGCCCUAGACUGUACGGCCUCUGAGAGCUGCCGCAAGCAUUCCCAGUCUAGCUCUGCUCCUUGAUGUGGUGGCCUGUAGCAGACCCCCAUCACCAGGUCCCUUUCCCCUUGACCUCCGUGUGUCCUCACCCACAAUGCUUUAACUUUCUCUUAAGACUCCCUUCUGUGCACUCACCUGAACACGGUCUGAAACCAAUGAUGCUGAUGCGCAGUUCAGACUCCUCCUGCUCUCCCCUCAACUAAAUAGGGAUGGGAGAAAACCCCUUCCCACGUCCCUACAGCUGGCCCAGGUCACCUUACUGCUGCUGCUGGUUCCUUACCACGGCACAGGCGCCAAGGGCGCACACAUGCUUGCUUCAGCAUCCCAAGUAAAAGUCAAAUGCUCUAGGUGAGGCUUGAACUCACAACCUUAGCAGUACUUCCAUAGGGUUGUUUUUACAAGUACCACAUGCUAACCCACUGCACCACCAGAGCUGAACUGAAAGGCUCUUUGUCACUCUUUUAGAGCAUUGGUUGAAAGUAAUUGUAUCUCUGCUAUUGGCUUUUGGAUUUAAUAAAGACAUUUGAACUGAA